GCGUGCAGAACAGGACACGUGAGAGGGACAGGGAGAGAAAACGUACAAUUAUGGGUGUCUGGAGCACACACUAUUAAGGAGGGAUGGGCGGGACAGACACAUGCUUUCAUUCCUCUUGGGAAGAUACCUAGAAGUGGAAUUUGUAUAAUUGCGGGUCAUGUGAUGACUGCACAUUCAACUUCACUAAGAAAAAAG